ACGGAAGGCAGCAGUGGGGAAUAUUGGACAAUGGGCGCAAGCCUGAUCCAGCCAUGCCGCGUGAGUGAUGAAGGCCCUAGGGUUGUAAAGCUCUUUCGCACGCGACGAUAAUGACGGUAGCGUGAGAAGAAGCCCCGGCUAACUUCGUGCCAGCAGCCGCGGUAAUACGAAGGGGGCUAGCGUUGUUCGGAAUCACUGGGCGUAAAGGGCGCGUAGGCGGCCGAUCAAGUCGGGGGUGAAAGCCUGUGGCUCAACCACAGAAUGGCCUUCGAUACUGUUUGGCUUGAGACCGGAAGAGGUCAGUGGAACUGCGAGUGUAGAGGUGAAAUUCGUAGAUAUUCGCAAGAACACCAGUGGCGAAGGCGGCUGACUGGUCCGGUUCUGACGCUGAGGCGCGAAAGCGUGGGGAGCAAACAGGAUUAGAUACCCUGGUA
rnacentral:rRNA from 1 species